rnacentral:rRNA from 1 species
GACGAACGCUGGCGGCGUGCUUAACACAUGCAAGUCGAACGGAAAGGCCCUGCUUUUGUGGGGUGCUCGAGUGGCGAACGGGUGAGUAACACGUGAGUAACCUGCCCUUGACUUUGGGAUAACUUCAGGAAACUGGGGCUAAUACCGGAUAGGAGCUCCUGCUGCAUGGUGGGGGUUGGAAAGUUUCGGCGGUUGGGGAUGGACUCGCGGCUUAUCAGCUUGGUGGUGGGGUAGUGGCUUACCAAGGCUUUGACGGGUAGCCGGCCUGAGAGGGUGACCGGCCACAUUGGGACUGAGAUACGGCCCGGACUCCUGCGGGAGGCAGCAGUGGGGAAUAUUGCACAAUGGGCGGAAGCCUGAUGCAGCAACGCCGCGUGCGGGAUGACGGCCUUCGGGUUGUAAACCGCUUUCGCCUGUGACGAAGCGUGAGUGACGGUAAUGGGUAAAGAAGCACCGGCUAACUACGUGCCAGCCGCCGCCGUAA